ACUCCCCCUCACCCGCACACUCCCCCGCACCCUCACGGCUUUCCCCGCACCGCUGCUCAGACAUGAAUACCAUUCUCAGUGUUCGAAAGCCGACCGUUCCUUUUACUGCAAAAUUCACUGAAGAACUAGGUGAAGAAUCAAUAAUAGUUAUUAAAGGAAAGUUGACUGAUGAUCCUCUCAGGUGGGACAACCUUACCCAUUGGGCUUUGAGUUGGGAGCUGAGUGGGAAGAAGCUUGACUUGAUCUGAUGCCUGAAGAGGAUUCACUAAAUGACUUUUAUUCUGAUUCGAUGUUAAUUUUCAAAGGGGAGAUAGCCCUGAGGCAGACAUCCUAUUCCACUUCAAUCCUCGUUUCAAAGAGGAGCUUGAGAAAAUUAUCUUUAAUUCACGGGGACCAGAUGGCUGGGGAUUUCAGGGUGAGAAGUAUGAAAAUAUUACCACCAGAGGUUCUUCAUUCAAACUCGUGUUUGUGGUGUGGAGAAACUGCUUCCAGGUAUCUGUAAGUGGUAGACACAUACUUGAAUUUCCACACCGAAUUGAGGAAUGGAAGCCUGAUACUGUUAUCGUGUUUGGAGAUAUCGAAGUAGAAAGUAUUGAUGUUCUCAGGCUGUAAGAGGACAGCUGAAGAAACUACAGGAUGAAUAUUCUUAAGCAAAGUUGACUUAAAUUGCAAGAAUGCAACCAGAACAACAAAUUGCGUUUAUAUAACACCUUUCACGUUGAGAGGAUGUCCCAAGACACGGAGAUAGCAUCUAAAAUAUCAAGGUUUUUAUCUGAUCGUGAAAACAACAUGCACCCGAAAGAGAGAAUUUGUAUGCGUCCAGAGAGAAUGAUUGAUGAGUGACUCAAUGAGUGAACGACAUUCAUGCUCGCACGUACACACAGGCACAGACAGAUUGACAGACUGAGGAGGAGCGCUACAGUCAGAAAGUGAGCAGAAGCGCGACACUG